rnacentral:rRNA from 1 species
CACGUAGGGCGCGAGCGUUGUCCGGAUUUAUUGGGCGUAAAGAGCUCGUAGGCGGUCUGUCGCGUCUGCUGUGAAAACUCAGGGCUUAACCCUGAGCUUGCAGUGGGUACGGGCAGACUAGAGUGCGGUAGGGGAGACUGGAAUUCCUGGUGUAGCGGUGAAAUGCGCAGAUAUCGGGAGGAACACCAGUGGCGAAGGCGACUACCUGGCCUGUUCUUGACGCUGAGGCGCGAAAGCUAGGGGAGCCAAAGCGGG